GCCCCUUCUCUGGACCCCUGUACAAUGGGGCCUUUGCCUCCUUCAGCACUCAGGGUGGAGAUGAACUCACUGACGGUUUCUCCAAGUUUAAAAAUAGCCCCUCCCAUCUCCCCCUGCCCCACCCACCACCACCAGCACAAGUCACCCUCCUCCUCUCCCAUGGCAUUUCUGGGGCGCAGCUCAGUCCAGGCCGCACCUCCUUCCUGCCUGGAGUCAGCUGUGGACGCUCUAGCUUCUGGCAUCUCAGAGAAACGGAGAAGCCCGUCUUAGACACCCUCCACCUCCUGCUCCUUCACCCUGUGCUGCCAUCAUUGUGCUUCCUCCUGCCUCCAGUCCCCUCUGAAGCCUCUCCAAGGACUUGACCUCUUUGGUUUGGAAUCCUAGCGGGCCCCACUCAAUGAAGCCUUCUUGAGGUUGUCUGCCCCCUGACCUCUACCACCUACUCCCUGGCAGCCCAGAUCACCCUGAGCUACUGGCUUCCCUAAAGGACAGUCUCUGUGCUAGUUUGGUGGGGACGUGUGGGACACAGAAGUCACCCUGAGCUCUGUCCUCACUUCCCUUUCACCGCAGAGGCAGCUCCACCACCCCCUCCUAGCUUCACUCUUCUCACAACGGAAGGAUUCUGACUGACCGUCCUUGGUGGUUAGCUGGCUUUGCUCUCAGGCUGGAGAGAGGAGAAUGAUUAGUUAAUGGUGUUAAGAGAAGGGAAGGGGGGUGGAGGCAGGGAAGCAGAAUACUAUGCCCAGCUCUGAGCUUGCCAGGGCAAACAGCAUCCUUCAGCCAUUCCCAUUCCUGCCCCUGCAGACAAAAACAAACGCAUCCAUUCCAUUCUGGGCCCUGGGCCAGUCCAUACAUUCACUCUGGGGGAUGAGGAAGCACCAUCCUUCUCUCACCCCCCCACCCCCACCCCGGGCUCCAGGCCCCUGCCUUGGCCCACCUGGCAUGGCCUCUGGCUGAAAAUUAAUGGAGACACAGGAGGGGAUCAGCAAGGAUCUGAAAGACGAGGGCUGAUGUGGCUCAAGAGUCAUCUCGGCGUCAUCAAAACACCAUCCGGGAGCAUCCUCUAAGUCACCUGCCCAUCUCUGGCAUUUGCUGCCUCACCCUGCUCCUCCCCCCAACCAGCGAGCGGCAAGGCUGCCCUGCCUAGGACAGGACUCUAUCCCAAAUCCAGGCCCCCUUUAGACCAUCCCAGUUAGAGGGGUCCCAGCUGAUGUGGACCCCUUUCCCAGGGUCAGGGAGCUGGGGGUCUCUCUCUAUGAGACAAGAAUCA
rnacentral:lncRNA from 1 species